rnacentral:tRNA from 18 species
GCGCCUGUAGCUCAAUUGGAUAGAGCAACGGCCUUCUAAGCCGUAGGUUGCAGGUUCGAGCCCUGCCAGGCGCGCCA